AACGCACGAGACCUGCGGACCUGCGGAAGGAUCAUUACAAGUGACCCCGGUCUAACCACCGGGAUGUUCAUAACCCUUUGUUGUCCGACUCUGUUGCCUCCGGGGCGACCCUGCCUUCGGGCGGGGGCUCCGGGUGGACACUUCAAACUCUUGCGUAACUUUGCAGUCUGAGUAAACUUAAUUAAUAAAUUAAAACUUUUAGCAAUGGAUCUCU
rnacentral:misc_RNA from 1 species